rnacentral:rRNA from 1 species
GAUGAACGCUGGCGGCGUGCUUAACACAUGCAAGUCGAACGAGAAGUGAAGACGGAAACCUUCGGGCGGAAGGCUUUAUUUCGAGUGGCGGACGGGUGAGUAACGCGUGGGUAACCUGCCUCAUACAGGGGGAUAACAGUUGGAAACGACUGUUAAUACCGCAUAAGACCACAGCACCGCAUGGUGCGGGGGUAAAAACUCCGGUGGUAUGAGAUGGACCCGCGUUCGAUUAGCCAGUUGGCGGGGUAACGGCCCACCAAAGCGACGAUCGAUAGCCGAUCUGAGAGGAUGACCGGCCACAUUGGGACUGAGACACGGCCCAAACUCCUACGGGAGGCAGCAGUGGGGAAUAUUGCACAAUGGGGGAAACCCUGAUGCAGCGACGCCGCGUGAUUGAAGAAGUAUUUCGGUAUGUAAAGCUCUAUCAGCAGGGAAGAAAAUGACGGUACCUGAGUAAGAAGCCCCGGCUAACUACGUG